AUGGCGCCGGCGAGGUCGCUCCUGCUGUCCUGCGUCGCUCUUCUCCUCGUCCUGCCCUCCCGCGCCGCCGCCGCCGGCACCGCCGAUGGGUCGGAAGAGUGGGGAUACAUGCAAGUCCGACCCAAGGCGCACAUGUUCUGGUGGCUGUACCGUAGCCCCCACCGUGUCGACAACGGCACAGCGCCAUGGCCGACCGUGCUGUGGCUGCAGGGCGGCCCAGGCGCGUCGGGGGUCGGUUACGGCAACUUCAUGGAGAUCGGGCCGCUUGACACGGACCUCAAGCCCCGCGCCACCACCUGGCUCAACAAGGCCGACCUCCUCUUCGUCGACAACCCCGUGGGCACGGGGUUCAGCUUCGUGGAGGGCGGCAACAAGAGCCUGAUGGCGCGCACGGACGGCCAGGCGGCGCGCGACCUGACGGCGCUACUCAUCAAGCUCUACCGGCACAACAAGCCGCUGCAGGGGAGCCCGCUCUACAUCGUGGCCGAGUCGUACGGCGGCAAGUUCGCCGUCACCACCGCCCUCACCGCGCUCAAGGCCAUCCGACAUGGACACCUCAGGGCCAAGCUUGGAGGUGUGGCCCUGGGGGAUAGCUGGAUUUCACCAGAGGACUCCGUGUUGUCAUGGGGCCCGUUGCUAUACCAACUGUCCCGUAUCGACGAGAAGGGGCUGCAGCAAUGCGACAGCCUGGCGAAUAAGAUCAAGGCGCAGCUCAAGGCGAAGCAGUACGCGGCGGCGGAGAAGUCGUGGGAGGACCUCGAGUCGGCCGUGCUCGAGCAGAGCAACUCCGUGAACUUCUACAACAUCCUCAAGGACGAGUCGUCGGAGGACGCUGCGGUGCUGGCGACCGCGGGGGCGGCGGUGAGGAAGGUGGGCUACACGAGGUACCUGAGCUCCAAGGCGACGAGGGAAGGCGGCCUCGACGGCCUCAUGAACGCCGAGGUCAAGGCCAAGCUGGGCAUCAUCCCCAACAACUUCACCUGGGGAGAGCAGUCCGGCGACGUGUUCGAAGCCCUCGCAGGCGACUUCAUGAAGCCAAGAAUCAACGAGGUUGACCAACUCCUCAGACUUGGCGUGGAGGUGACCAUCUACAGCGGACAGCUCGAUCUCAUCUGCGCAACCAAGGGAACACUGGACUGGGUCCAGAAGCUCAAGUGGGAAGGCCUGAAGAAUUUCACAGGGUCGCCCAGAAAGCCGCUCUACUGCAAGGGGGGUGAAGGUGAAGGUGAAGGUGAAGCAGCCGGCACCCAGGCCUUCCUCAAGUCGUACAAGAACCUGAAAUUCUACUGGAUACUCGGGGCUGGCCACAUGAUACCGAUCGACAACCCUUGCCCUGCACUCAACAUGCUGGGUGACAUUACACAAUCUCCUGCUCGGUAG
rnacentral:rRNA from 1 species